rnacentral:rRNA from 1 species
CAGCCGUAAACAAUGUGCGUUAGGUGUGUCGGUAACCACGCGUUACUGAUGCGCCGAAGAGAAAUCGUGAAACGCACCACCUGGGAAGUACGGUCGCAAGGCUGAAACUUAAAGGAAUUGGCGGGGGAGCACCACAACAGGUGGAGCCUGCGGUUUAAUUGGAUUCAACGCCGGACAUCUCACCGGAUAAGACAGCUGAAUGAUUGUCAAUCUGAAGGUUUUACAUGACUAGCUGAGAGGUGGUGCAUGGCGUCAGUGACUGU